AAUACGGAGGUAGAGCACUGAAUAUCCGUAGGGGGCAUUGCGCUUACCGAAGAUUAUCAAACUCCGAAUGCCGUUAUUUUAUACUUGGGAGUCAGACUGUGGGUAAUAAGAUUCAUAGUCGAGAGGGCAACAGCCCAGAUCGUCAGCUAAGGUCCCUAAAUGUAAGUUAAGUGGUAAAGGAUGUGGGAUUGCAUAGACAACCAGGAUGUUGGCUUAGAAGCAGCCACUCAUUUAAAGAGUGCGUAAUAGCUCACUGGUCGAGUGAUCCUGCGCCGAAGAUUACCGGGGCUAAAACUUACUACCGAAGCUACGAUAUCAUUUAUGAUAGGUAGGGGAGCUUCCUAUGCAGGCUGAAGCAUGACCGUAAGGACGUGUGGACAGUAUAGGAGUGAGAAUGUUGGCAUGAGUAGCGAGACGUGGGUGAGAAUCCCACGGGCCGUAAACCCAAGGUUUCCAGGGGAAGGUUCGUCCGCCCUGGGUUAGUCGGGACCUAAGCCGAGGCCGAAAGGCGUAGGUGAUGGACAACAGGUUGAGAUUCCUGUACCACCGAUAAUCGUUUGAGAGAUGGAAUGACACAGUAGGAUAAGCUAACCACACUGUUGGUUAUGUGUGGCUAAGUACUGAGGCAGUCAAGGCAGGCAAAUCCGCCAUGAUAAUGCUGGGGUACGAUGGGGAGCGAAAUUAAGUAGCGAAGUAGCUGAUUUCACACUGUCGAGAAAAGUUUCUAUCGAGAUUAAAGGUGCCCGUACCGCAAACCGACACAGGUGGGUGAGGAGAGUAUCCUAAGGCCAGCGAGAGAACUGUUGUUAAGGAACUCGGCAAAAUGACCCCGUAACUUAGGGAGAAGGGGUGCCACGUUAGGGUUAACGCCCGAGGUGGCCGCAGAGAAUAGGCCCAAGCGACUGUUUACCAAAAACACAGGUUUCUGCUAAGUCGCAAGACGAUGUAUAGGAGCUGACGCCUGCCCGGUGCUGGAAGGUUAAGGGGAUCUGUUAGGAUUUAUCCGAAGCAGUGAACUUAAGCCCCAGUAAACGGCGGCCGUAACUAUAACGGUCCUAAGGUAGCGAAAUUCCUUGUCGGGUAAGUUCCGACCCGCACGAAAGGCGUAACGAUUUGGGCACUGUCUCAACAACAGACUCGGUGAAAUUGUAAUCCCGGUGAAGAUGCCGGGUACCUGCGACAGGACGGAAAGACCCCAUGGAGCUUUACUGUAGCUUGACAUUGAAUUUUGGUGCUACAUGUACAGGAUAGGUGGGAGGCUAUGAAAUCGGGACGCCAGUCUCGGUGGAGCUAUCCUUGGGAUACCACCCUUGUAGUACUGAGAUUCUAACCAGAUACCUUGAAUCAGGUAUUGGGACACUGUCAGGUGGGCAGUUUGACUGGGGCGGUCGCCUCCCAAAGAGUAACGGAGGCGCUCAAAGGUUCUCUCAGCACGGUCGGAAAUCGUGCGUAGAGUGUAAAGGCAGAAGAGAGCUUGAUUGCAAGACAUACAGGUCGAGCGAGGACGAAAGUCGGACUUAGUGAUCCGGUGGUUCCGCAUGGAAGGGCCAUCGCUCAACGGAUAAAAGCUACCCUGGGGAUAACAGGCUUAUCUCCCCCAAGAGUCCACAUCGACGGGGAGGUUUGGCACCUCGAUGUCGGCUCAUCACAUCCUGGGGCUGUAGUAGGUCCCAAGGGUUGGGCUGUUCGCCCAUUAAAGUGGUACGCGAGCUGGGUUCAGAACGUCGUGAGACAGUUCGGUCCCUAUCCGUCGCAGGCGUAGGAAAUUUGAGGAGACCUGUCCUUAGUACGAGAGGACCGGGAUGGACGUACCUCUGGUGUACCAGUUGUUCUGCCAAGGGCAUGGCUGGGUAGCUAUGUACGGAAUGGAUAAGCGCUGAAAGCAUCUAAGCGCGAAGCCAACUUCAAGAUAAGAUUUCCCACCGUAAGGGUAAGAUCCCAGGAAGACUACCUGGUUGAUAGGUCGGAGGUGUAAGUGCAGCAAUGUAUGUAGCUUACCGAUACUAAUAGAUCGAGGACUUGACCAA
rnacentral:rRNA from 1 species